rnacentral:rRNA from 1 species
UACAGGGGGUGCAAACGUUGCUCGGAAUCAUUGGGCGUAAAGCGCACGUAGGCGGUUCGUUAUGUCGGAUGUGAAAGCCCUUGGCUUAACCGAGGAAGUGCAUCCGAAACUGGCGAGCUAGAGUACGAAAGAGGAUCGCGGAAUUCCCGGUGUAGAGGUGAAAUUCGUAGAUAUCGGGAGGAACACCGGUGGCGAAGGCGGCGAUCUGGGUCGAUACUGACGCUGAGGUGCGAAAGCCAGGGGAGCGAACGGG